GAUACGAGGGUAUCCGAUGCUGAUCGUUUGGUCUAUAUUUAUUAAAAAUAUGGAUAAGAAUUUCGCGGAUUUUGACGGCGACGGCAAAGGAGAAAAUGGACGGAAUUCACACCACGGGACUGCAUGUGGAUCCAAAAGGCAUUCCUCAAAAUGUGAUUCAAAGUGCCACUUCAAAUCCUGCGCAAAACUAUACCACUAAUUGGGGAGUCGCGAUGUGGUUGCAAUGGCCAUGGCAGGCUGGGGUAAAACCGGGUGCUUUUGGACUCUGCUGUUUGAGAACGACGACCGAUCAAGUUUGGUGUUAGUGUGGUGCGGUGCUGUAGGGAAAGUUUCCGGAUUUUAAAACGUUUCUACCAUCUGCUGCCGGAUGUGAUCGUUUCCACGGCAGGUCGAAGCAGCGGUGCUACACUGUGCGUUUGACGAAGGGGACCGUCUUUUCGAGAUGGGUUUCAGCGAGACGGAGAUCAUGUGGAAGUUGUCCAAAACAAAACAGAUGGCCCUGUUCUCCGUUAGUUGUUGAUCAACUUUGCAAAAGCUGGCUUGAGCGAUCUGACGCUGAUUCGUAAAAUCGAAAAUUCCGGGACAUUGAAUUCGAAAUUCGUUUGUAGGACGGUCUAACGAUAAGCCCGUUUUUGCUCCGUGAGGUGAUUCCGAAGCACUCUCUAACUGUGUUUAACGGCACGCAGCACCCCGUUGAAUUGAUUUCUCUGGCUAAAGAUGGAGUGGCAUCUGUGUUGUAUUAUUUUCGCUCGGUCCAUAACUAAAAGCCAACUACGCAAUCUAAGAAGGGGCCGGUAACCAUCUUCCUGAUUGUUCUUCUCAGCUCACGGCGCAUCUCACCUUCUCAUGUCCAUCAAAGAGCGGACGUGACCGUCUGAAGUCUAAUAAAUCAUCGACUGUCGUGCCGGUUCUAGAUGGCUUGCAUAUUUCAAGUGAUAAGCUGCUCACCUUUUGCCAUGCCGAUUUACCCGAUGGGCGUUUGUGCUCAGGAUUGCUCGCUCCCUCCGACCAUCACAAUUAUUUACGACGCAUAGAUCGAUCAGGGCAACGAGAAAUACGAUAAGUGGCAGCUCCUUAACAUAACCUGCCAAGACUUCCAAUCGGUUUGUGAGUGAUGGUGAUGGAAAUUAAUUUUCUUUGUUCAAAUUCUCUGAAAUAGAACAAAUAAAAAUGAUUGUAUGUGUAAUAUCAAAUAAAAUUAAGCCAUGUCUGAUAAACCGAAAAUACCAAUAUUAAAAACCUUCAUGCAUUGAACAGUUUUACAUCACAUUGAUUUACAUCCCUUUGAUUACGUAGUUGUAUUUAUUACAUCGAGAGAAAUUACAUCGUUUCUGUUUAUUACACAGCGAGCUCUCGAGUACAUCGCGCAGUGUAAUAUUCAACAACCGAUGGAUUCAGUUGGUUGCAGCGAUUUCGAUGUAAUAUUCAACAACUUUUUUUGCUGUGUAGUCUGAUAGUUCGAAAGUUCCUCAAUUUGUCAACUUCGGUUCAGAAGCGCCUGGUGCACAAGCACGAUCUAUAGUUACCAUCCAUAAAUAUUGCGUGAUAGAUGGUUGAGGGGAUGGACUCGACAAGCCUCGUUGGAUAAAAAUACAACUCGUGCUAAAAAAAUAUCCUUUUGCAGCUAAUUGCUUAAAUUACUAUUCUUGUUUUAGUUCAUUUUUUAAAGAUAAAAAU